CACAUUGUAUCAGUAUGUCUCAAUAUGCUUUUGUGUCCAGCUGUAUGAUUCAUGAUAAUGUUACACUUUUAUAAAGCUCAUGCACUACUUACAAGAGUAAAAAAAGAGGUCCAAAUAAAUAGUGUGCUUUGAAGCUCGACAUAAGCAAAAUACACAACAGAGUAGAAUGGGGGUUUCUUGCAAGGGAUUAUGUGCAGAUUGGGUUUUAGCAAUGGGUGGAUUGAAAGAGUGAUGUGUUGUGUCUCCACCGUCAGGUAUGUAGUUAGGAUCAAUGGUAGACUGGCAGACUUUUUUGAAACAGGUAACGAUCAAAGAUUGGGGAUCUUUUGUCCCCAUAUUUUUUCUUUUUCUUUUUUUUUUAUGUAUGGAAGAACUCUCAAUUUUGUUAAACUAGGCUCAAUUGGAUGAUUCUUUGAAAGGUAUUUGGACUAGUCAGAAUGGUCCUAAUGUGAAUCACUUUCUCUUUGGUAAUGAUAACCUGUUGUUUGUCAAAAAUAAAUAGACUGAAGCAAGAAAAGUGAGGGACUUGCUAAUGAUUUAUGAAAGUAGCUUUGACCAAAAGGUUAAUCUUGAGAAACAUCUACUUUACUUCAGUUUGAUUACUCUUGACGCUAAGUAUUGAGUCGUAUAUUAGAAGUAAAGGUCAUGGCGGAUCCUAAACUGUAUUUGAGGUUGCCUUUGGUUGUGGAUCUCAACAAAACAAAUGCUUUUAAAAGGAUGACUGACAGGGUUUAUUUGCACAUUUAUAUUCGGUCCAAAUGCCUUUUAUCUCAUUGAGGCAAUGAGGUCUUUGUAAAAUCGAUUUUGCAGUCACUCCCCACUUAUGCUAUGGUUUUAUUUUUAUGCCUAACUUGAUAACUGAUGCAAUUGUGAGUGCAAUACACAAGUUCCGGUGGCAAGGUUGAAAUGAGGAUCAAGGAUGGGCUAUGUUAACAGUAUAGGAGGCUUGGGUUUUCGAAAUGUCAGACUUUUUAAUUUAGCUUUAUUAGGUAGACAAGUUUGUUGUCUCUUAAAACAUAGAGACUUUCUUGCUUUCAAGGUUCUUAAUGAUAGUUCUUGGAUGAUGAUAUUCUUAACUAUAAACAUGUUGGCAAACUAUUUUUCAUAUUGACAAGCUUGAGCACAGCUGCAAAUAGCCUCGCACUGGGCAUGUUUUGGCAGAUCAGGGAUGGCAAAGAAUUGCAUAUAUGGGAGUAUAGAUGGGGAAACAAAGACAUUAUUGGACCGGAGUUAACUUACAAAGGAACUUUAAUAAGAGAUGCUACGAAUAGUCAGUUAAUACAUGAGGGAGAAAUAGGGUGAGAUGAGCAGUUUGUUCAAUAGGCUUUCACUCAAUCUGAACCAGAUUUGAUCUUAUCAAUCGAAUCUUUUAAGGCGUGGAUUGAGAGAUACACUCAAUGGGGGACAUUUUUCGGCAAGUAUAUAUUUGACAAAAGUGGGGUAUUCUUAGCUCCUUUUACGAUUUUUGGGUAAUGGUCCUCGCAAUGUCUUUUCGAGAAAAACUUGGAAGUCCAAAAUGCUUUCGAAGAUUUUUACAUCGCGACUAGAUAUGGUAUCUUGUGAAUUGACCCUAAGAUUGUUAAUAUGAGAAAUCUUCCAAAUCCAAGAUAUCAUAGAUGCAAGUUUGACAAAAAAUUGACCUUACCUACACUCAAAGAUUGUCAGGUUUCAAAUGCCACCUUAAGAUUGGUAGGUAUUGAUGACCAUAUAUUACUUUUUAAGUUUUUUAUUGUAUUGACUGGCUUGAGUAUGUUAUGUGUAAGCUAGACAGGGACGCUCUAACCAAUUUGAUCAUUUUGCUUGAGGAACUUUGGAAUUGAAGAACAGUGAGUUUGUGUAUGUGAAAUGGAGGCCACCUUUGGAAGGCCGAACCAAGGUAAAUGUAGAUGUGACAUUGGAUGUGAAUGCAUAAAUUUGUAAGCAUUGGUGUGGAGUUGCCUAACGCGGAUGGGAUGGUUUGGGAGGCUGUGUGAAGAGCAGAGUUGUCUAAGAGUUCAAUUAUUCGCCUAAAUUCUAAAGGCCAUUUGAAACAUAAGAUGACUUAGACAAAAAUACAAAGCUUGAAAAAUAAGUUUGGACAAAAGUGUAAGCCCAUUUUACUAUUUGUGUCAGGCCUUGAGCAAAAUUUUGUAA